ensembl:rRNA 5S_rRNA 5S ribosomal RNA
GUCUACGGCCCUACCACCCUGAACGCGCCCAAUCUCGUCUGAUCUCGGAAGCUAAGCAGGGUCGGGCCUGGUUUGUACUUGGAUAGGAGAUAAGAUCUUUUCUGUUGGCA